CCUACGGGUGGCAGCAGUGAGGAAUAUUGGUCAAUGGUCGUGAGGCUGAACCAGCCAAGCCGCGUGAAGGAGGAAGGUUCUAUGGAUUGUAAACUUCUUUUAUCGGGGAAUAAAGGUACCCACGCGUGCCUGUUUGCAUGUACCCAAUGAUAAAGCAUCGGCUAACUCCGUGCCAGCAGCCGCGGUAAUCCGGAGGAUGCGAGCGUUAUCCGGAUUUAUUGGGUUUAAAGGGUGCGUAGGUGGUUUUUUAAGUCAGCGGUGAAAGUUUGGGGCUCAACCACAAAAUUGCCGUUGAAACUGGAUGUCUUGAGUGUGUUAGAGGUAGGCGGAAUGCGUGGUGUAGCGGUGAAAUGCAUAGAUAUCACGCAGAACUCCGAUUGCGAAGGCAGCUUACU
rnacentral:rRNA from 1 species